UCAGGACGAACGCUGGCGGCGUGCCUAACACAUGCAAGUCGAGCGAGGAGAUCCUUCGGGAUGAUCCUAGCGGCGGACGGGUGAGUAACACGUGGGCAACCUGCCUCAUAGAGAGGAAUAGCCUUCCGAAAGGGAGAUUAAUACCUCAUAACAUUGCAGUUUCGCAUGGAACAGCAAUUAAAGGAGCAAUCCGCUAUGAGAUGGGCCCGCGGCGCAUUAGCUAGUUGGUGAGGUAACGGCUCACCAAGGCGACGAUGCGUAGCCGACCUGAGAGGGUGAUCGGCCACAUUGGGACUGAGACACGGCCCAGACUCCUACGGGAGGCAGCAGUGGGGAAUAUUGCACAAUGGGGGAAACCCUGAUGCCAGCAACGCCGCGUGAGUGAUGACGGCCUUCGGGUUGUAAAGCUCUGUCUUCAGGGACGAUAAUGACGGUACCUGAGGAGGAAGCCACGGCUAACUACGUGCCAGCCGCGGC
rnacentral:rRNA from 1 species